AUGCCAUGGUAGGGACAUUGUCUAAGAAGCUCCUUAAAUAUUUCCCAAACAUCAAAUACGGAUUCAUCAUCUCCUUGACUAAAUGAAGUUAUCUCAUUCCUCAUUUU